ensembl:lncRNA B3GAT1-DT B3GAT1 divergent transcript
CUGUCUCAAGCCUCCAAUCAACAGAUCAGACAGCUUGUACUCACAGGCCAAGGACACGUGGAAAGAGGCUCAAUUUUCUAGAUGGGUGGCAACAGCCAUGAUCUUCUGUCCUCUGGGUCCCCACAAGCCUGGAUGAACUCAAGAUCUGACUCAGUGGCACAGUGAGGAGACCUUUGAGGCCUCAGUGACCAUCCUUGGACUUCACCUCUCACGGCUUUCAGGCAGAGAGGCCCUCCCAUGCCCACAACAGGCUGAGCCCAGCCUUCCUCGGGGUUUGCUUCCAGGCCUGACUUUUACUCCCCUUUCUAAGUGAGGCAGCCAUGACUGGCCACUUCAUGUGCUCCUGGAGAAGGGCUUGCACCAGCCGUUUUCAGGAAAGUCAAGCAGCUGUUGACUCCUGAGUCUGGGUGAAUUUGUGUGAAGAGCAUAAGGCGCUGUUUCUUAACCAAAACGCUUCCUCUUGCAGUGCAGAUGGGAUGUGCUUCUCCACAGGAGGCCCCACGGCUUCCCCACCCCUCAGAGGAGCGCCGUGCGUGCGUCUGUGUGGAGGAUUGGCAGCUCCUGCAGUCGGCCCUUGGUCCUAUUUGGCGACGCCUCUGCCUUCCCCUUAAUUAUACAGUCAUGAGCCGCCCUGGAAUCACGGCAGCUCCGGAUGGAUCCUGGAUGCCAGAAUGCAGCCUCAGCACGGGGCUGCAGGACAGGAGUGAGCGAGGGGCUGCAGAGCCGGCGGCCGCGGUGGGCACCAUGGAGGGGGCUGCCCUGGGCAGCACGGGCAUGAGUCUCAAGGCCCAGGUUUGAGUAACAGGUGUUGAGAGCUUACUUACUUUUCCUGAGACACAGUUUCCUCAUCUCGAGAGCACGGAAAAUCAUUCUAACUUCAGAGGAUUGUUGUGAAAGUUAAAUGAGAUUAAAGAGGUAAAGCCCAUGACGUGCUUAGCUCGUGCUUGGCUCUUGGUCAAUGCCAGUUAGCGCUGCAUUUUCUCCCCUCUCCCUCCCUCCUUCUCUCUUUCUUUUCUUCUAUUCUCCAUUCCUGUUUUCUCCCCCACCCCACUCCCCAAAGCUCUGCGUUGAGAACCAGAUGCUGUCUGGUGGGUUAGGGCCAGAGGAGGAAAAGCUGCCCGCCGUGGGCUGCACCCAUACCCUCUUCAUUCCAAUGACAUGAGGGGAGGGGAAAGGACAGAGGUAGACUGUCCUCCCCUACCUCCUCCUAAUACAAAUGGAAUUCCUGGAACUGGAAAACAAAGAAUACCCCCAUAAAAAUAAGACAGUACUUCUGGUGCGGUGUAAUAAAGGGGAAAGUAACCCUCAAUGUCAGGAAACUCCGCACCUCCCAGCUCAUAUUUGUGUGGAGGAAAAGUUAAAUAUUAAUUUGGACUCAACUGAAUGUGGACACAAACAAUGGUCACCAAGUCCCGGAACAGGUUGUGUGAGCCUCUUCAGGGGUUCAUCCAGCGCUGUUUUGGAGAAAUCUCUAUUUCAAUUUAUUCCUAUACGUUAGUUACUGAAAAACAACAGACAAUCGCAAAAGCAAGUUGCCCGUUUUGUGUUCCUUGAGCCCAAUCAUGAAGUGCCGUCGUGACUGGGCCUCAUGACAAACAACUUGUAACAAGUAACAACAGAGCUCAGGUCCCAGACCGCACUGAAGCUCUGUGAGACCUCUCCUCAUCUGUGCAUGAACGAGUGUCUGACUCUGGAGCCCAGCCUGCUGCUUCCCAGUCUGGUGGUGAAUCCUCCGUAGUCUGGGCAUGGACUGGAACUCCCAAUACCCCUGACAUGGGCUGAGUCAACGUGGUCAUGAACAUGUGACAGGAGGCAGCAGAAGUUGCAGAGAAGAGUGAGGCACGUUUGAAAAAGGCUGAAAAAUGUUUCUGUCCAGGCAAGGGUGUGUGCUGAAUGACUCAAGGAUUUUUUGGGCAACACAAACCAACACGAGCCGUGUGAGGAUCAGGUGACAGCUGCCCAAAAGCUGACACAAGGAACAAGCCUGGAGGAGUGAGGAUGGGUGCUGUGAAGGAGGUUGUGCAGCUGGGCCCGCAGUCGGACCUGGUGAGAUCAGAGGAGGGGGUGCCACCAGUCUGUGGACGAAGAUGAGAAGCUGGAAUAGAGCAGAAAACAGGAGGCUGCCACUCUCCAUCUUUCCCAAAGUCACUCCAGGAGCAAGGGUGUCAUUUACUGAAAUGACAGACUCUCCAUUUCACAUUUUUCCCCCAAGUGCAGAGUGCAGGGAAGCAGAUGGGCUAAAUUUUUAGAGUCAGGGUUAUUAAUGUAUACUUUACAUAGUAAACUUUCCCCUUUUAAGUGUGCAGGCCUGAGGUUUGCCAAAUAUGUGUAGGCAUUUAAUCACCACCACGAUCAAGAUGUAGAAUAUUCCCACUAUCAAAAAGUUUGCUGUGUCCCUUGAUGGUCAUGCCCCAUUCCACAGCCCCAGCCCCAGCCCCUGGAGAUUGCUGUCUGCUUUAUGUUCCAGUGGUUUUAUCUUUUCCAGACUGUAUGGAUGUGAAUGGAAUCAGAUGUGAUUCCAAGGUGUUUUAUCUUUUCCAGAUGUGAAUGGAAUCAGAUGUACGAAAUCCUAUGGUAGGGGGUCUUCUGAGUCUAGCUCCUUUUGUUUAGCGUGAUGCAUUUGAAAUUAAUCCAUGUCUCAGGCAUCAGGAGUUCAUUUCUUUUUCUGCUGAGUAGUAUUUCAUUGUAUGGAUGUACUGCAAUUUGCCUAUCCAUUCACCUGUUGAUGUACAUUUGAGAUUUUUGGCAAUUAUGAAUAAAGCUGCUAUAAACAGA